CCGAGUUCUACUUCCUAGUAAGGGACGUCUCUGGAGAGAUCCUGAGGUUUUUGAGUGUCCUUCCCGCACUCAGAGGGCCUCUCUGGAGCCAGUUCCAGGCCACCCAUGGGCCUUGGCCCCGCCCCCUACCCAUGGCUGGCAGAUUCGUGGCCCCACCCAUCUCGAAGCCCCUCGGCCCAGGAACCCAGGGGAAGCUGCUGCCCUAGCAAUCCUGACCCGGACGACAGAUAUUACAAUGGAGGGUGCCUCUUGGGCCGAGUUCCCCUCUCAGUGUAUCCCAGCCCAUGCUGGGCAUCCGUGAAGGGAGGCCUGCUGGCUUGGGUGCUGGCCCUGCAGCCUCACCCCACCUCAGCCCCAGUCCUGCCCCUAGCACAGCCAGCAGUGCCCCAGGCAGAACCUGGCAGGGGAAUGGGGAGAUGACUCCCCCACUUCAAGGACCCCGUGCUCGAUUCCGGAAGAAACCCAAGGCUCUUCCCUACAGGAGGGAGAACAGUCCUGGGGACUUGCCCCCACCACCCUUGCCACCGCCAGAGGAAGAGGCGAGCUGGGCCCUAGAGCUGAGGGCAGCAGGCAGCAUGUCCUCCCUGGAGCGGGAGCGCAGUGGGGAGAGGAAAGCGGUACAGGCUGUGCCCCUGGCAGCCCAGCGGGGGCUCCACCCG
rnacentral:sRNA from 1 species